UACGUAGGGGGCAAGCGUUGUCCGGAAUUAUUGGGCGUAAAGAGCGCGUAGGCGGUCCGAUAAGUCGGCUGUGAAAGUCAGGGGCUCAACCCUUGAAAGCCGGCCGAUACUGUCGGACUAGAGUCCGGAAGAGGCGAGUGGAAUUCCUGGUGUAGCGGUGAAAUGCGCAGAUAUCAGGAAGAACACCCGUGGCUAAGGCGGCUCUCUAGUACGGUACUGACGCUGAGACGCGAAAGCGUGGGGAGCGAACAGG
rnacentral:rRNA from 1 species